rnacentral:rRNA from 1 species
UACAGAGGGGGCAAGCGUUGUUCGGAAUUACUGGGCGUAAAGGGCGCGUAGGCGGCCUGUUAAGUCGAACGUGAAAUCCCCGGGCUCAACCCGGGAACUGCGUCCGAUACUGGCAGGCUUGAAUCCGGGAGAGGGAUGCGGAAUUCCAGGUGUAGCGGUGAAAUGCGUAGAUAUCUGGAGGAACACCGGUGGCGAAGGCGGCAUCCUGGACCGGUAUGACGCUGAGGCGCGGAAAGCCAGGGGAGCAAACGGGG